rnacentral:rRNA from 1 species
GGUUAAGCGACUAAGCGUACACGGUGGAUGCCCUGGCAGUCAGAGGCGAUGAAGGACGUGCUAAUCUGCGAUAAGCGUCGGUAAGGUGAUAUGAACCGUUAUAACCGGCGAUUUCCGAAUGGGGAAACCCAGUGUGUUUCGACACACUAUCAUUAACUGAAUCCAUAGGUUAAUGAGGCGAACCGGGGGAACUGAAACAUCUAAGUACCCCGAGGAAAAGAAAUCAACCGAGAUUCCCCCAGUAGCGGCGAGCGAACGGGGAGCAGCCCAGAGCCUGAAUCAGUGUGUGUGUUAGUGGAAGCGUCUGGAAAGGCGCGCGAUACAGGGUGACAGCCCCGUACACAAAAAUGCACAUACUGUGAGCUCGAUGAGUAGGGCGGGACACGUGGUAUCCUGUCUGAAUAUGGGGGGACCAUCCUCCAAGGCUAAAUACUCCUGACUGACCGAUAGUGAACCAGUACCGUGAGGGAAAGGCGAAAAGAACCCCGGCGAGGGGAGUGAAAAAGAACCUGAAACCGUGUACGUACAAGCAGUGGGAGCACAGAGCAAUCUGUGUGACUGCGUACCUUUUGUAUAAUGGGUCAGCGACUUAUAUUCUGUAGCAAGGUUAACCGAAUAGGGGAGCCGAAGGGAAACCGAGUCUUAACUGGGCGUUAAGUUGCAGGGUAUAGACCCGAAACCCGGUGAUCUAGCCAUGGGCAGGUUGAAGGUUGGGUAACACUAACUGGAGGACCGAACCGACUAAUGUUGAAAAAUUAGCGGAUGACUUGUGGCUGGGGGUGAAAGGCCAAUCAAACCGGGAGAUAGCUGGUUCUCCCCGAAAGCUAUUUAGGUAGCGCCUCGUGAAUUCAUCUCCGGGGGUAGAGCACUGUUUCGGCAAGGGGGUCAUCCCGACUUACCAACCCGAUGCAAACUGCGAAUACCGGAGAAUGUUAUCACGGGAGACACACGGCGGGUGCUAACGUCCGUCGUGAAGAGGGAAACAACCCAGACCGCCAGCUAAGGUCCCAAAGUCAUGGUUAAGUGGGAAACGAUGUGGGAAGGCCCAGACAGCCAGGAUGUUGGCUUAGAAGCAGCCAUCAUUUAAAGAAAGCGUAAUAGCUCACUGGUCGAGUCGGCCUGCGCGGAAGAUGUAACGGGGCUAAACCAUGCACCGAAGCUGCGGCAGCGACGCUUAUGCGUUGUUGGGUAGGGGAGCGUUCUGUAAGCCUGUGAAGGUGUACUGUGAGGUAUGCUGGAGGUAUCAGAAGUGCGAAUGCUGACAUAAGUAACGAUAAAGCGGGUGAAAAGCCCGCUCGCCGGAAGACCAAGGGUUCCUGUCCAACGUUAAUCGGGGCAGGGUGAGUCGACCCCUAAGGCGAGGCCGAAAGGCGUAGUCGAUGGGAAACAGGUUAAUAUUCCUGUACUUGGUGUUACUGCGAAGGGGGGACGGAGAAGGCUAUGUUGGCCGGGCGACGGUUGUCCCGGUUUAAGCGUGUAGGCUGGUUUUCCAGGCAAAUCCGGAAAAUCAAGGCUGAGGCGUGAUGACGAGGCACUACGGUGCUGAAGCAACAAAUGCCCUGCUUCCAGGAAAAGCCUCUAAGCAUCAGGUAACAUCAAAUCGUACCCCAAACCGACACAGGUGGUCAGGUAGAGAAUACCAAGGCGCUUGAGAGAACUCGGGUGAAGGAACUAGGCAAAAUGGUGCCGUAACUUCGGGAGAAGGCACGCUGAUAUGUAGGUGAAGUCCCUCGCGGAUGGAGCUGAAAUCAGUCGAAGAUACCAGCUGGCUGCAACUGUUUAUUAAAAACACAGCACUGUGCAAACACGAAAGUGGACGUAUACGGUGUGACGCCUGCCCGGUGCCGGAAGGUUAAUUGAUGGGGUUAGCGCAAGCGAAGCUCUUGAUCGAAGCCCCGGUAAACGGCGGCCGUAACUAUAACGGUCCUAAGGUAGCGAAAUUCCUUGUCGGGUAAGUUCCGACCUGCACGAAUGGCGUAAUGAUGGCCAGGCUGUCUCCACCCGAGACUCAGUGAAAUUGAACUCGCUGUGAAGAUGCAGUGUACCCGCGGCAAGACGGAAAGACCCCGUGAACCUUUACUAUAGCUUGACACUGAACAUUGAGCCUUGAUGUGUAGGAUAGGUGGGAGGCUUUGAAGUGUGGACGCCAGUCUGCAUGGAGCCGACCUUGAAAUACCACCCUUUAAUGUUUGAUGUUCUAACGUGGACCCGUAAUCCGGGUUGCGGACAGUGUCUGGUGGGUAGUUUGACUGGGGCGGUCUCCUCCUAAAGAGUAACGGAGGAGCACGAAGGUUGGCUAAUCCUGGUCGGACAUCAGGAGGUUAGUGCAAUGGCAUAAGCCAGCUUGACUGCGAGCGUGACGGCGCGAGCAGGUGCGAAAGCAGGUCAUAGUGAUCCGGUGGUUCUGAAUGGAAGGGCCAUCGCUCAACGGAUAAAAGGUACUCCGGGGAUAACAGGCUGAUACCGCCCAAGAGUUCAUAUCGACGGCGGUGUUUGGCACCUCGAUGUCGGCUCAUCACAUCCUGGGGCUGAAGUAGGUCCCAAGGGUAUGGCUGUUCGCCAUUUAAAGUGGUACGCGAGCUGGGUUUAGAACGUCGUGAGACAGUUCGGUCCCUAUCUGCCGUGGGCGCUGGAGAAUUGAGGGGGGCUGCUCCUAGUACGAGAGGACCGGAGUGGACGCAUCACUGGUGUUCGGGUUGUCAUGCCAAUGGCACUGCCCGGUAGCUAAAUGCGGAAGAGAUAAGUGCUGAAAGCAUCUAAGCACGAAACUUGCCCCGAGAUGAGUUCUCCCUGACUCCUUGAGAGUCCUGAAGGAACGUUGAAGACGACGACGUUGAUAGGCCGGGUGUGUAAGCGCAGCGAUGCGUUGAGCUAACCGGUACUAAUGAACCGUGAGGCUUAACCUU